rnacentral:rRNA from 1 species
GACGAACGCUGGCGGCGUGCUUAACACAUGCAAGUCGAACGGAAAGGCCCAGCUUGCUGGGUGCUCGAGUGGCGAACGGGUGAGUAACACGUGGGUGAUCUGCCCCUAACUUCGGGAUAAGCUUGGGAAACUGGGCCUAAUACCGGAUAGGACAAUCGUUUAGUGUCGGUUGUGGAAAGUUUUUUCGGUUAGGGAUGAGCCCGCGGCCUAUCAGCUUGUUGGUGGGGUAAUGGCCUACCAAGGCGUCGACGGGUAGCCGGCCUGAGAGGGUGGACGGCCACAUUGGGACUGAGAUACGGCCCAGACUCCUACGGGAGGCAGCAGUGGGGAAUAUUGCACAAUGGGCGCAAGCCUGAUGCAGCGACGCCGCGUGGGGGAUGACGGCCUUCGGGUUGUAAACCUCUUUCGACAGGGACGAAGCUUUGGUGACGGUACCUGUAUAAGAAGCACCGGCUAACUACGUG